GGACGACGCUGGCGGCGCGCCUAACACAUGCAAGUCGAACGGAGCUUGCACUUCUGAAGUUUCGGAUGGACGAGGUACAAGCUUAGUGGCGAACGGGUGAGUAACACGUGAAGAACCUGCCCUUCAGUGGGGGACAACAGUUGGAAACGACUGCUAAUACCGCAUAAGACCACAGUACCGCAUGGUACAGUGAUCAAAGGAUUUAUUCGCUGAAGGAUGGCUUCGCGUCCGAUUAGGUAGUUGGUGAGGUAACGGCCCACCAAGCCUACGAUCGGUAGCCGGACUGAGAGGUUGAUCGGCCACAUUGGGACUGAGACACGGCCCAGACUCCUACGGGAGGCAGCAGUGGGGAAUAUUGCACAAUGGAGGAAACUCUGAUGCAAGCGACGCCGCGUGAGGGAAGAAGGUCUCCGGAUUGUAAACCUCUGUCUUCAGGGACGAUAAUGACGGUACCUGAGGAGGAAGCACCGGCUAACUACGUGCCAGCAGCUGC
rnacentral:rRNA from 1 species